rnacentral:rRNA from 1 species
AUUGAACGCUGGCGGCAGGCCUAACACAUGCAAGUCGAGCGGGGUUUUCGGACCUAGCGGCGGACGGGUGAGUAAUGCGUAGGAAGCUACCCGAUAGAGGGGGAUACCAGUUGGAAACGACUGUUAAUACCGCAUAAUGUCUACGGACCAAAGUGUGGGACCUUCGGGCCACAUGCUAUCGGAUGCGCCUACGUGGGAUUAGCUAGUUGGUGAGGUAAUGGCUCACCAAGGCGACGAUCCCUAGCUGGUUUGAGAGGAUGAUCAGCCACACUGGAACUGAGACACGGUCCAGACUCCUACGGGAGGCAGCAGUGGGGAAUAUUGGACAAUGGGCGCAAGCCUGAUCCAGCCAUGCCGCGUGUGUGAAGAAGGCCUUCGGGUUGUAAAGCACUUUCAGUAGGGAGGAAGCGCUGUGUGUUAAUAGUACACAGCGUUGACGUUACCUACAGAAGAAGCACCGGCUAACUCUGUGCCAGCCGCCGCCGUAAGAC